rnacentral:rRNA from 1 species
UAGUCUCGAGAAGUGUUUUCCGCGCUGGAUCGUGUAUGAGUCUGUUGGAAUACAGCGUCAUAGAGGGUGAGAACCCCGUUCGUGACACGACUACCAGUGCUUUGUGAUACAUUUUCGAUGAGUCGAGUUGUUUGGGAAUGCAGCUCAAAUUGGGUGGUAAAUUCCAUCUAAAGCUAAAUAUUGGCGAGAGACCGAUAGCAAACAAGUACCGUGAGGGAAAGAUGAAAAGCACUUUGGAAAGAGAGUUAACAGUACGUGAAAUUGUUGAAAGGGAAACGUUUGAAGUCAGACGUGCGUUGUGCGAUUCAGCUCCGGUUCGCCGGAGUGUAUUUCGUACUAUUGCAGGCCAGCAUCGGUUUGGCGAGUCGGAUAAAGGUUAGAGAAAGGUAGCGGCUCCGGCCGUGUUAU